UACGUAGGGUGCAAGCGUUAUCCGGAAUUAUUGGGCGUAAAGAGCUCGUAGGCGGUUUGUCACGUCUGCUGUGAAAACUGGAGGCUCAACCUCCAGCCUGCAGUGGGUACGGGCAGACUAGAGUGCGGUAGGGGAGAUUGGAAUUCCUGGUGUAGCGGUGGAAUGCGCAGAUAUCAGGAGGAACACCGAUGGCGAAGGCAGAUCUCUGGGCCGUAACUGACGCUGAGGAGCUAAAGCAUGGGGAGCGAACAGG
rnacentral:rRNA from 1 species